AGGGAAGAGAGGAAGAGGCCGCCAAACGCUUUGUCUGAGCAUAAUAAAUCUACCGCAGUCUUUUAAACAGACACAUCGGAAUCUACGAUAAAAACGUCCCAUAAUUUAUCCUUUUACCCACAGACUACGUUAUUUUUUUUAAGGAUUGGCACCUGAGCUAACAUCUGUUGUCAGUCUCCUUUUUUCCCCCUUCUUCUUCUUUCCCCCAAAGGCCCCCGGAACAUAGUUGCAUGUUCUAGUCGUAGGGCCCUUCUGGCUGUGGCACGGGGGACGCCGCCUCAGCAUGGCCUGAUGAGCGGUGCCAGGGCCGCGCCCAGGAUCCCAACCGGUGACGCCCAGGACCCCGAAGCGGAGCGCGGGAACUCGACCACUCGGCCGCCGGGCCGGCCCCCCCAGGCCACGUCUUUAAGGUGAUGAGAUGCCAGGCCCUCUUCGCUCAGGAUUAUGCACGUCUAUGGACUUCGACCCUUGGCGGGACCCCUUGCUCUGCCCGGAUGCAGACCCCGUCUAGGAGGCAGCUGGAGACGCAGUCCUCACCACCAGAGGUCGCUCGGCAUGGAGGGGCUGGCAGUCCCCCUGUGUGCUUUCCAGGGCCCACUCAGUGCUUGGUGGAAGGCGCAAGCAGCGCCGGGCAUUUCACCACUGCCUGUGUCAGGGCACCAGAGAGCUGGGGAGGGGGAGGGACACCACGCUUCAGACAACCAAUUGUGAUCUUACCCCUAAGCUUAUCCCGUGAGGGUCUCAGACGUUCAACAAUGAAAGGCAGUGUUGUU
rnacentral:lncRNA from 1 species